UUUGCAGAUCGCAUGGUCAAGUACCGGCGA
rnacentral:sRNA from 1 species